GAUGAACGCUGGCGGCGUGCCUAAUACAUGCAAGUCGAGCGAACAGACGAGGAGCUUGCUCCUCUGACGUUGGCGGCGGACGGGUGAGUAACACGUGGAUAACCUACCUAUAAGACUGGGAUAACUUCGGGAAACCGGAGCUAAUACCGGAUAAUAUAUUGAACCGCAUGGUUCAAUAGUGAAAGACGGUUUUGCUGUCACUUAUAGAUGGAUCCGCGCCGCAUUAGCUAGUUGGUAAGGUAACGGCUUACCAAGGCAACGAUGCGUAGCCGACCUGAGAGGGUGAUCGGCCACACUGGAACUGAGACACGGUCCAGACUCCUACGGGAGGCAGCAGUAGGGAAUCUUCCGCAAUGGGCGAAAGCUUGACGGAGCAACGCCGCGUGAGUGAUGAAGGUCUUCGGAUCGUAAAACUCUGUUAUUAGGGAAGAACAAAUGUGUAAGUAACUAUGCACGUCUUGACGGUACCUAAUCAGAAAGCCACGGCUAACUACGUG
rnacentral:rRNA from 1 species